AUGUAUAACUUUCUCUGACUUUCUAGGAUGUGUUUUAUGCCACUUCUUUUUCUGUCUCAUUUUGUCCACCCGACUUUUAACGUUGUGCGUGAAUACACAAAGGUUGCCGACCUCUGGUCUAGUCCAUAGUGGGGCCAGCAGGAGAUCAUCUUGAGUGGAGACAAGUCAGCAGCGCAGAGACGUCAUCAACUGAUGAGAGGGGGGCAGAGCAGAAAAGAGACGGCAGUUGAGCAAACGUCACUUUUUGUUCCAUCACCGGACACAUGUUGGUGUGUUCAUGGCAUUUUCAGACUGGUGGAGUAAAUGAACAAUAUACGUGGCCUCAAAUAAGGAUUAAAAGUCCAAUAAAAUCCAUGUGUGCUGGGAAAAAAACAUAUGAGUACAACAUUAAGGAAAACAUACGAACUUAAGGG